UGAACGCUGGCGGCGUGCCUAAUACAUGCAAGUCGAACGCACAGCGAAAGGUGCUUGCACCUUUCAAGUGAGUGGCGAACGGGUGAGUAACACGUGGACAACCUGCCUCAAGGCUGGGGAUAACAUUUGGAAACAGAUGCUAAUACCGAAUAAAACUUAGUGUCGCAUGACACAAAGUUAAAAGGCGCUUCGGCGUCACCUAGAGAUGGAUCCGCGGUGCAUUAGUUAGUUGGUGGGUAAAGGCCUACCAAGACAAUGAUGCAUAGCCGAGUUGAGAGACUGAUCGGCCACAUUGGGACUGAGACACGGCCCAAACUCCUACGGGAGGCUGCAGUAGGGAAUCUUCCACAAUGGGCGAAAGCCUGAUGGAGCAACGCCGCGUGUGUGAUGAAGGCUUUCGGGUCGUAAAGCACUGUUGUAUGGGAAGAACAGCUAGAAUAGGAAAUGAUUUUAGUUUGACGGUACCAUACCAGAAAGGGACGGCUAAAUACGUG
rnacentral:rRNA from 1 species